CACCUCUAGCAUUACUAGUAUUAGAGGCAAUGCCUGCCCAGUGACACCAGUUUAACGGCCGCGGUAUUCUGACCGUGCAAAGGUAGCAUAAUCACUUGUUCUCCAAAUAAGGACUUGUAUGAAUGGCCACACGAGGGUUUUACUGUCUCUUACUUCCAAUCAGUGAAAUUGACCUUCCCGUGAAGAGGCGGGAAUAAAAAAAUAAGACGAGAAGACCCUAUGGAGCUUUAAUUAACUAUUCCGAAAGUUAAACAAUUCAACCACAAAGGGAUAAAACAUAACUUAACAUGGACUAGCAAUUUCGGUUGGGGUGACCUCGGAGUACAAAAAACCCUCCGAGUGAUUUUAAUCUAGACAAACCAGUCAAAAUAACCAUAACAUCACUUAUUGAUCCAAAAUUUUGAUCAACGGAACAAGUUACCCUAGGGAUAACAGCGCAAUCCUAUUCUAGAGUUCCUAUCGACAAUAGGGUUUACGACCUCGAUGUUGGAUCAGGACACCCAAAUGGUGCAACCGCUAUUAAAGGUUCGUUUGUUCAACGAUUAAAGUCCUACGU
rnacentral:rRNA from 1 species